CAACAUUUAUUGUGGCACUGUAAUGAGUCGGCCGGUGACAAACCGGAGGAAGGUGGGGAUGACGUCAAAUCAGCAUGCCCCUUAUGACUUGGGCUACACACGUGCUACAAUGGAUGGUACAACGAGUCGCAAACCCGCGAGGGCAAGCAAAUCUCUUAAAGCCAUUCUCAGUUCGGAUUGCAGGCUGCAACUCGCCUGCAUGAAGCCGGAAUCGCUAGUAAUCGUGGAUCAGCACGCCACGGUGAAUACGUUCCCGGGUCUUGUACACACCGCCCGUCACAACACGAGAGUUUGUAACACCCGAAGUCGGUGAGGUAACCUUUAUGGAGCCAGCCGCCGAAGGUGGACCGAGGGGCCAAU
rnacentral:rRNA from 1 species